rnacentral:rRNA from 1 species
GAUUAACGCUGGCGGCGUGCCUAACACAUGCAAGUCGAGCGGCAGCGCGUUUUACACUGAAUUCUGGAAGCUUCUAGUUGAAAGAGAAGAUUUAUUCAAGAAUUUUGUGUAAAAUGUCGGCGAGCGGCGGACGGCUGAGUGACGCGUGGGAACGUACCCCAAAGUGAGGGAUAACGCAUCGAAAGGUGUGCUAAUACCGCAUAUGGUCUUCGGAUUAAAGCCUUCGGGCGCUUUGGGAACGGCCUGCGUAAGAUUAGAUAGUUGGUGGGGUAAUGGCCUACCAAGUCGACGAUCUUUAACUGGUUUGAGAGGAUGAUCAGUCAGACUGGAACUGAGACACGGUCCAGACUCCUACGGGAGGCAGCAGUGAGGAAUCUUCCACAAUGGGCGAAAGCCUGAUGGAGCAACGCCGCGUGCAGGAUGAAGGCCUUCGGGUUGUAAACUGCUUUUAUAAGUGAGGAUUAUGACAGUAACUUAUGAAUAAGGAUCGGCUAACUACGUG